rnacentral:piRNA from 2 species
UGUGAAAGAGGCCUGUGGGGCUCAAGAAGUU